CUUGGAAUUAGUCCUUAGUCUUUUAUUUAGUGUGUUUGGUGAGGUCAUGUUUUCCUAGAUGGCCAUGAUGCCUGUGGAUGUUUUUUUAGUGUCUGGGCAUUGAAGAGUUAUUUAUUGUAGUCUUCACAGUUUGGGCUUAUUUGUACCCACCCUUAUUGGGAAGGCUUUCCAGGUAUUCAAAAGAAAUUGGGUAUUGUAAACUAAAUUUUUAGUCAUUACAGCUGUAUCUGCUUUAGGGAACACCCCAAGCCCAGUAGCGCUCAGACUCAUAGAGAUACCACCUUGGUGGUCUUAGAUAAGAUCCAGAAGUGUUCUGUGGAUUACCAGGCAGAGACCUUGUUCUCUUCCCUUACUUUCUCCCAGACAAAUGGAGUCUCUCUCUUUAUGCUGUGCUGCCUGGAGCUAGGGGAGGAGUGACACAAGCACCCUGUGGCUACCAACACUGAAACUACACUGGGUCAGACACAGCACUGGAUCUUGCCCAGUAACUACUACCUGGCUACUACCUAUGUUUGUUCAAGGCCCUCUACAAUCAGCACGUGGGAAAGCCAACUAGGCUUGUGUUCUUCCUUUCAGGGCAGUGAGUUCUUCCAGGCCCUUGAUGGGUCCAGAGAUGCAGUCUGGUAGCCAGGGUCUGGAAUUGGAAACCUUAGAAAUCUACCUGGUGCUCUACUCUACUGGCUGAGUUGGCAUACAAAACGUAAGACACAGUCCUUCCCACUUUCCCUCCCCUUUCCAUGUGGAGUGGAGUCUCUAUCCAUGGCUGUCACCAUUACAGACCCACAGAGAGUACUGCCAGCCUACCACCAAUGUUCACUUAAGGCCCAACAGCUCUUCUUCAGUCAGCUUUUGGUGAAUGCUGCCAGGCCUGACGCUCACCCUUCAGGGCAGUGGGCUCUCCUCUGACCUAGGGCAGGUCCAGAAAUGCUGCCCAAGAACCAAGACCUAGAAGCAGGGACCCCCAAAGCCCAUUUGGUGCUCUACCCCACUGUGGCUGAGCUGACACCUAGGCUGUAGGACAAAGUCCCCUUUACUCUUCCCUCUGCUUUUCUCAAGCAGAAGGAGUCUCUCCUCAUAGCCACCACAGCUGGAAAUGUGCUGGGUUACACUGAAAGCCAGCACAUCUCAGAGUCUCACCCAAGGCCCAUAGAAUGUAUUACUGGGCUACCACUGCUGAUUAUUCAGGGCCCAAGGGCUCUUUAGUCAGCAGGUGACGAAUCCUGCCCAGGACUGGGUCCUUUCUUCUUUCAAGGCAGCAGUGUCCCUUCUGGUGUAGGGUAUAUCUAGCAAUAUCAUCUGAGAGCUAGGGCCUGGAAUGGGGGCCUCACAACUCUGUCCAAUGCCCUAUCCUGUUGUGGCUGAGAUGAUAUCCAAGUUGCAAGACAAAG
rnacentral:lncRNA from 1 species